rnacentral:rRNA from 1 species
GACGAACGCUGGCGGCGUGCUUAACACAUGCAAGUCGAACGGAAAGGCCCUGCUUUUGUGGGGUGCUCGAGUGGCGAACGGGUGAUUAACACGUGAGUAACCUGCCCUUGACUUUGGGAUAACUUCAGGAAACUGGGGCUAAUACCGGAUAGGAGCUCCUGCUUCAUGGUGGGGGUUGGAAAGUUUCGGCGGUUGGGGAUGGACUCGCGGCUUAUCAGCUUGUUGGUGGGGUAGUGGCUUACCAAGGCUUUGACGGGUAGCCGGCCUGAGAGGGUGACCGGCCACAUUGGGACUGAGAUACGGCCCAGACUCCUACGGGAGGCAGCAGUGGGGAAUAAUGCACAAUGGGCGGAAGCCUGAUGCAGCAACGCCGCGUGCGGGAUGACGGCCUUCGGGUUGUAAACCGCUUUCGAAGGUGACGAAGCGUGAGUGACGGUAAUGGGUAAAGAAGCACCGGCUAACUAAGUG